rnacentral:lncRNA from 1 species
UACUGCUGUCUCUUGUCUCGUUUGUGGUCCACAGUGAUCCCAAGACCUUUUCUGCAGCAUUGCUACUUAACCUUACUCUUAUGUUCCUUAUUCUCUAUUUCUAUUUUAUGAGACUCUAAAUGGAGGAUUUUGCAAUCAUUUUGAUUGAAUUUUAUGUUUUUCAUGUUUUUUCUCUCUCUUUUUCUUUUCUUUUUUUUUUUCUUUAUUUUUUUUUCUUUCUUUUUCCCCUCCCUUCAGGCUGCUUUUCAUCUUUGGCAAGGUCACUUUGAAUUCUGAUCUUGUCUUUCAAUGUAUUUGCAGUCUCUCUUAGCCUGCUACCAUUGGGAGAUUUAAUAAGCAUACUCUCUGUUCCAUCACCCAAAUCGCUAGUGAAAACGUGGAGUAGAGGUGGAUGCUUUGCAAACCCUGCAGGCUUCUUCUGACAGGUACUUGCACAUUGGCAGUGGGCUGCUCGUAAUUGCUCUUUGUGUGUCCUGAAGACAGGUUCCUGCUGCUCGCCUGUAACAACAUGAUGUGGAACAGGGUCAAGGUCCCCGUCACAGCUGCUCUGCCCACCCGUCCUACUGCCUGGCCGCAGAAGGAGGCCAGGUGGGCUCAAUGUGGUUUGUUUGCGACAAAGCCAUGUCAGCUGUUGCUCAUCCCUUGUUUUUGCUGGAGGCUUGUUAGCUGAUUUUUCCUAGCUAUUCCAGAAGCCGAAGCUGAGCUGGCUGAUAUAUAUAAUGUCCCACGGCCUGCUGGUUUUGCCCUGUCUCAGCAGGGGGGUGUUGUUUGAUUUUUCUUUGCAGCUGGGGCUCCUGAGCAGGCUUCCAGAGGUCCUCCUCUCUGGCUGGUCUGCCCCUGAGCCGUCCCAAGCGAAGCUCACAGCACUGCUGCUGGCGUUUGUUCACCUGCCUUACCCCAGGAGCAAACCCUCCCGCAUCAGAUUGGCGCCCACCUUGCUCUCCCGUGUGCAUCCUCAGGCAUGCCUCUAGAAAGUAGAAAUUUUCUUUAAAAUUUAACUAUUUUUCAGGGUUUUAAAACUGCACAACAGGUGUCUUUAUUUGUGGGCUGAAAUAUCCCAUUUCACUUCCCAUCCAAUGCUGCUUUAUUUCACUUGUCGCCUCAGUCACCAUGUGGUGCAAUUCAUGGUUGCUUUUGUGAGCAAACAGUGAUCAUGCGGUUGAAAUGCUGGACUCUACUUGCUUUUGACAUUUAUAUUUAAUCCCCUUUAAAUUCCCUCCUGUCACAGACAGGGAAAAUCUGUCUUUCUUUUUGGGGCUUUUUCCCAGGUGAAAAGCAGGGAUAGUAGUGGUUUGCUCCUCAGAAACAUU